AUACAGAGGGUGCAAGCGUUAAUCGGAUUUACUGGGCGUAAAGCGCGCGUAGGUGGCUAAUUAAGUCAAAUGUGAAAUCCCCGAGCUUAACUUGGGAAUUGCAUUCGAUACUGGUUAGCUAGAGUAUGGGAGAGGAUGGUAGAAUUCCAGGUGUAGCGGUGAAAUGCGUAGAGAUCUGGAGGAAUACCGAUGGCGAAGGCAGCCAUCUGGCCUAAUACUGACACUGAGGUGCGAAAGCAUGGGGAGCAAACAGGAUUAGAUCCCCUGGUAGUCCAUGCCGUAAACGAUGUCUACUAGCCGUUGGGGCCCUUGAGGCUUUAGUGGCGCAGCUAACGCGAUAAGUAGACCGCCUGGGGAGUACGGUCGCAAGACUAAAACUCAAAUGAAUUGACGGG
rnacentral:rRNA from 1 species